rnacentral:rRNA from 2 species
GACGGAGGAUGCAAGUGUUAUCCGGAAUCACUGGGCGUAAAGCGUCUGUAGGUGGUUUAAUAAGUCAACUGUUAAAUCUUGAGGCUCAACCUCAAAAUCGCAGUCGAAACUAUUAGGCUAGAGUAUAGUAGGGGUAAAGGGAAUUUCCAGUGGAGCGGUGAAAUGCGUAGAGAUUGGAAAGAACACCGAUGGCGAAGGCACUUUACUGGGCUAUUACUAACACUCAGAGACGAAAGCUAGGGUAGCAAAUGGG